UACGUAGGGGCGUAGCGUUGUUCGGAAUUACUGGGCGGUAAAGACGCACGUAGGCGGACUUUUAAGUUCAGAUGUGAAAUCCCGGGGCGUCAACCUCGGAACUGCAUUUGAAACUGGAAGUCUGGAGUUCAGGAGAGGUUAGCGGAAUACCGAGUGUAGAGGUGAAAUUCGUAGAUAUUCGGUGGAACACCAGUGGUGAAGGCGGCUAACUGGACUGAUACUGACGCUGAGGUGCGAAAGUGUGGGGAGCAAACAGGAUUAGAUACCCCGCGUAGU
rnacentral:rRNA from 1 species